CACCACGCCAUUCCAUUUGUCUUCAACAACACCCUCUCUCUCUCUCUCUCUCUCUCUCUCUCUCUCUCUCUCUCUCUCUCUCUCUCUCUCUCUCUCUGCAUCUGCUACUGUUUCCUUUUUGUCUACUUUCUCAUUUGUUUUUUUUUCAACCCGAAGUAAUUUUCUAGAGACUAGAGUCACUAGAUUUCUAGAGUAAUCUUGCAGAAAUGGCUUGUGUUUUGGUUGGCAUGAAAGGAAAAGAAGGGAAGGCAUGCUUCGGCUAGCUUGUUGCUAGGAUAAGGAGGUAUUGGCGCGCCUCAAUCCGAAGGCUUGGCUGAUUGGCACGGCAGCCAUGUUCUUGGAUUGAGCCGCGUCAAUAUCUCCCCUUGCUCAUCUCCUAUACCUGGCUCGCGCUUGCCUUCUGAUGUUCCUCAUGUUGAAGCUAACUAAUCGCAAGCAAGAAUCGUCAGAUGCAUGCUAGCAGGAUCUACAGGAUCUAUGGAAGUAUGGAGAACGCUAGCGUCGAGAUAUCAUCUUCAGGAGAACAUGAACGGAAUUGGUUUCCAAGCAAACUAGGAAUUACUACACGGCCAACCAUGAGAGCUACCUUCCUCCUUGUUGUCGUCACUAUUGCGGCCAUCUACAUCUUUGCAAUGCCCGCUACCGCGAUCUCCCAGCCGCAGCAAGGAUGGUACCCAUUACCAGUUAUUGAUGCUCCAGUGUCCAAGAGCUUGGCAAGUGGGCGGUGGUGGAGUACAACAAGAAGGCAAGAUGAACUUCCAUCGGGUGGUGGGUGGUGAUAAGGGGGAGGAUCCGCGGCUAGGCCAGAGUUACCAUUUCAUCAUUGAUGCGUCGAACGGUAAUGGCAAGGACAGAAAGUACGAUGCGGUGUUGGUUGAGCAAGUUUGGUUGGACAAGAGCAUUCUCAUCUCCUUUAAACCCAAGAAUUUGAGUGUUUUUUGUUUGCACGCUGCAGAUUAUUUGAAUGUAAUAAUUCAAGCCUAUGGAUUUACAUCUAGUUUGUUUCUGUAUCAAUCAAUCAUCGUAUCUGUUAUCUCUAGAUAGUCAUGAAUUUCUGGUACAACUCUAUUUCACAUCUACAUUAGACAAGUUUGGUUAGACAAGCGACUCUAAGGAAUUGAAUUUGCCCACUCUUAA